rnacentral:rRNA from 1 species
GACGAACGCUGGCGGCGUGCCUAAUACAUGCAAGUUGAACGCUAAAGCUUUAACUGGUGCUUGCACCGACUUAAGUUUUUAGAGUAGCGGACGGGUGAGUAACACGUGGGUAACCUGCCCAUCAGAGGGGGAUAACACUUGGAAACAGGUGCUAAUACCGCAUAAUUCCUUUUACCGCAUGGUAAAAGGCUGAAAGGCGCUUCUGGUGUCACUGAUGGAUGGACCCGCGGUGCAUUAGCUAGUCGGUGGGGUAACGGCCUACCGAGGCGAUGAUGCAUAGCCGACCUGAGAGGGUGAUCGGCCACAUUGGGACUGAGACACGGCCCAAACUCCUACGGGAGGCAGCAGUGGGGAAUCUUGGACAAUGGGCGAAAGCCCGAUCCAGCAAUAUCGCGUGAGUGAAGAAGGGCAAUGCCGCUUGUAAAGCUCUUUCGUCGAGUGCGCGAUCAUGACAGGACUCGAGGAAGAAGCCCCGGCUAACUCCGUGCCAGCCGCCGCGGUAACAC